rnacentral:rRNA from 1 species
GGCGGGUGAUAUUGCCCGACGGCUGAGUAACACGUGGGUGACCUGCCCUCGAGCGGGGGAUAACUGCCCGAAAGGGUGGCUAAUACCGCAGAUGUCGUGCAUUCGGUUGUGCGACUGAACCUUCGGGGUUCGGGGAGGGGCCCGCGGUCGAUUAGCUAGCUGGUGGGGUGACGGCCUACCAGGGCGACGAUCGAUAGCUGGUCUGAGAGGAUGAUCAGCCAGACUGGGACUGCGAACGGCCCAGACUCCUACGGGAGGCAGCAGUGGG